AGAGUUUGAUCCUGGCUCAGAACGAACGCUGGCGGCGUGCCUAACACAUGCAAGUCGAACGUGAUUGAGGAGCUUGCUCCUCAUGAAAGUGGCGCACGGGUGAGUAACGCGUAGAUAAUCUACCUGAUGAUCUGGGAUAACACUUCGAAAGGGGUGCUAAUACCUGAUAAGCUCACGGAGUCCUUGGAUUCUGCGAGAAAAGGGGGGGACCUUUACCGGCCUUCCGUCAUCAGAUGAGUCUGCGUACCAUUAGCUAGUUGGUAGGGUAAAGGCCUACCAAGGCGACGAUGGUUAGCUGGUCUGAGAGGAUGAUCAGCCACACUGGAACUGAAACACGGUCCAGACUCCUACGGGAGGCAGCAGUGAGGAAUUUUGCGCAAUGGGGGCAACCCUGACGCAGCAACGCCGCGUGAGUGAAGAAGGCCUUUGGGUCGUAAAGCUCUGUCAACCGGGAAGAAGUUACAGGAGUCGAAUAGGCUUUUGUAUUGACGGUACCGGUGAAGGAAGCAUCGGCUAACUCCGUGCCAGCAGCCGCGGUAAUACGGGGGAUGCAAGCGUUAUUCGGAAUUAUUGGGCGUAAAGGGCGCGUAGGCGGUUUGUCGCGUCGGGAGUGAAAACACCGGGCUUAACUCGGUGCUUGCUUUCGAUACGGGCAGACUAGAGGUAUGCAGGGGAGAACGGAAUUCCUGGUGUAGCGGUGAAAUGCGCAGAUAUCAGGAGGAACACCGAUGGCGAAGGCAGCUUUCUGGACCGAUACUGACGCUGAGGCGCGAAGGCGUGGGUAGCGAACAGGAUUAGAUACCCUGGUAGUCC
rnacentral:rRNA from 1 species